CGAGCUCGGGUUUGAGGCCGAGGACGUUCUCGGGCACGCGCUGGUGAACUUAUACGGGAAGUGUGGAGCGCUGGAGGAAGCGAGGUCGCUUUUUGAACGGGCUCGUGGAGGAUGCACUCAAGCUCUUCACAGAGAUGGCGCUGGAUGGGACCAGACCCGACGACGUGACCUUCAACAAUCUCGUCAACUUGUGCACGGGGGUGGUGAGCUUAGAACAAGCCAGGAUUCUCCACCGGCGAUUGAUCGAGAGUGAGAUCCACGUAGACGCUGUAAUGAGGAACGCCGUCAUGAAUCUCUACGUGAAAGCUGGGAGUUUGGAAGAUGCCAGGGCCGAGUUCUAUCGCAUGGAAGUCAGGGACGUGGUUUCGUGGACGCUCAUGCUUUCGACAUACUCGCAGUCUGGAUACGUAGACGAAGCAUUCAAGCUGUUUCAUCAGAUGGACCUUGAAGGCAUUGAGGCCGAUGCCGUCACCUACAUUGCAGUUCUCGACGCCUGUGAUUGCUCCGAGCUCCUGGAGCAAGGCCGGAGAGUGCGCGCUCGAGCAGCUCAGUCAGCUUUUCAUGAAGAUGUUGCUGUCAGCACUUCGCUCGUCAACAUGUAUGGGAAGUGCGGAAGCUUAGUCGAAGCCAAGACAUUGUUCGACGGGAUGAGCUUUAGGAACGAGUUAUCAUGGAACGCAAUGGUGAGAGUUCUCGGGUUUAACGGGCAGAGCAGCGAGGCCUUUCGAGUCUAUCGGGUGAUGCAGCUAGAAGGGGUCAAGCCAGACUCGACUACGUUACUCAUCCUCCUCGACGCUUGCAAAGAUUUGUCACAGGGCCGGAUGGUCCACUCCAAGAUCAUCGAAUGUGGAUUCGAUCGGGACAAAGGUGUCCCGCACACGCUUGUGAUCAUGUACGGGAAGCAUGGAGAUCUAGAAGAAGCCAACCAAGUGUUUCGGAAAAGUGUCCUGGAUUGCGGAAAGGAUCUAGCCAGCUUAUGGAACGCUUUCAUCGUAGCUCACACACACAACGGCCAGACCGAACAAGCAGCUCAGCUUCUUCACAGCAUGGACCUCCAGGGCGUAAGACUCAACAAGUUCAGCUACGUUGCUCUGCUCGACGCAUGCUCGACGUUACAACAGGUGGAGCAGCUCCACUUACGACUGCUUGCGGAAGGAUUGGAGGCAGAUCAAGAGAUUGGCAACACACUCAUCACCUCGUAUGGCCAGUGUGGUAACAUAGACGCUUCAAGAGCCGUCUUCACGGGAAUGGAGUGCAAGAACGUGAUUUCCUGGACUUCUUCCAUUGUAGCUCACGCAACCAACGGACAGGCUAGCCAGGCGAUGGGGCUGCUUCAUCAAAUGCAUCUAGAAGGCGUUCAUCCAAACAAAGUCACUUUGCUGGGCUUGAUCGAUGCGUGCGUGAGCCUGGCAGCAGCAGUGGACAAAAACGAGAGAAGUAUCGUCAUACCGGAGUAUGUUCUAUCUGUGGCCAGCAGAUUCGAGUCGACUAUCGUUCUAGAGACUGCGCUGCUCAACAUGCACGCCAAGUGUGGCAACGUAGAGGAAGCCGAGAGGAUUUUUUUUGAGAAGAUGGCCGAUGGGGAAAGGGACUCUAUCGCAUGGAAUGCCAUGGUUUCUGCCUAUGCUACCAACGGACACGGCCUGGAGGCGAUUGAAGUAGUGCGAAGGAUGGACUUGGAAGGGAUAAAGCUGCACAGAGUCACCUUUCUGGGCCUGCUGGACGCCAUUGCUGGAGUGGGAGACAUCACGAUGGUGAAGCAGACACACGCAAGGCUGACCGAGGCAGGAGUUCUUCCCAGCCUCGCACUAGAGAACAGUCUCAUAGCUGCUUAUGGACGUUGCGGGAGUGUGGAGGAUGCAAAGUCUGUUUUCAAGGGUAUCUCGUGCAACAAGGAUUCCGUCUCCUGGGGCGCUCUCAUCGUGGCUCUCUCCCAAAACUGGCAGGCUUCUCCGGCACUAGAGCUCCUCAAGAGCAUGGACUUGGAAGGGGUCAAGGCAGGAAAGGUGGCGCUGCUGAGAAUGGUGGAGUCGUGUGCGCUGCUGGGAGCUCUUGCUCACGGCAAAUCUCUCCACACUCGCAUCCUCCGCUCGGGCUUCCAGGCGGAAGAGGUCCUCGCCAACGCACUCAUCGCCAUGUACGGGAAGUGCGGCUGCCUGGAGACCGCCAGGAAGCUCUUCGAAGACGAGCUCCAGACGCCUGAUCCCGGUGGUAGAACCAGGAAGAACAACGUAGUAACUUGGACGACGAUGGUCACCAUCUACACGUCCGCUGGCCACCCCAGUGAAGCGCUGGAGCUCUUCUACGGCAUGGUGUUGCAAGGCGUCCUUCCCACGUCGGUAACGCUCACCAGCAUUCUCAGCGGCUGCAGCCACGCCGGCCUCGUCGGCCAGGGGAUCCGCUACUUUGCGUGCAUGGUGGAAGAUCACGGCGUCACUCCCACGGCGGAUCACAUGAACUGCCUUGUAGACUUGCUGGGACGAGCAGGCUGGCUCCGGGAGGCCGAGGACUUGAUCAGGAAGAUGCCGGCGGGAGACCCUCUAACUUGGAAGGUCCUCCUGGGAGCUUGUAGGCUCCAUGGAGACUUGGAGAGAGGCACAAACGCAGCGCGGAAGGCAUCAAACUUCCUUGACCACUGCGAUUCGUCGCCUUACGUGUUGCUGAGCAACAUGUACCUGGAGAAGGAUCCACAAAGCUUGACAAACUGCGAAUCGUCCGGACUAGUUCCAACUUCAUGAUCGAUCACGCAGGUACUAGUUCCAACUUCAUGAUCGAUCGCACAGCUUGACAAACAGCUCCGUGUUCUUGCACAGCAGCUAUGAGCAGCAUCAAGGAUCGGCAUGGCCAGCCAUUUCCUCGUCGCUGGACGCGUAAUCCUCAUCAGUCACUUCCGCGUCGCUGCUCUCUUCGGGG